AACGAACGCUGGCGGCAUGCCUAACACAUGCAAGUCGAACGAGAGCAUCGGGACAAGUGGCGCACGGGGGUGGAAAGCGGGGGAAGCUGGCGGUAGGUUCGGAAUAACUCCCCGAAAGGGGGGCUAAUACCGGAUAAUGUAUUCGGACCAAAGAUUUAACGCAUUUGGAUGGGCCCGCGUUGGAUUAACUAGUUGGUAGGGUAAAAGCCUACCAAGGCGACGAUCCAUAGCUGGUCUGAGAGGAUGAUCAGCCACACUGGGACUGAGACACGGCCCAGACUCCUACGGGAGGCAGCAGUGGGGAAUCUUGGACAAUGGGCGAAAGCCUGAUCCAGCACUGCCGCGUGAGUGAUGAAGGCCUUAGGGUUGUACAGCUCUUUUACCCGGGAUGAUAAUGACAGUACCGGGAGAAUAAGCUCCGGCUAACUCCGUG
rnacentral:rRNA from 1 species